rnacentral:rRNA from 1 species
UACGUAGGGUGCGAGCGUUGUCCGGAAUUAUUGGGCGUAAAGGGCUCGUAGGCGGUCUGUCACGUCGAAAGUGAAAACUCAGGGCUCAACUCCGGGCCUGCAGCCGAUACGGGCAGACUAGAGUUCGGCAGGGGAGACUGGAAUUCCUGGUGUAGCGGUGAAAUGCGCAGAUAUCAGGAGGAACACCGGUGGCGAAGGCGGGUCUCUGGGCCGAUACUGACGCUGAGGAGCGAAAGCGUGGGGAGCGAACAGG